CGUAGGGGAACCUGCGGCCGGAUCACCUCCUUAAAAUAGAGGCCGGAUGCCAAUGUGUAAAGGGGUAUGUAACCAUAACUCCAGAUAUGCAAUUUCUCCAUGAAUUAUAGGAGAAAUGAAGGACUUAGUAAGUGAGAACUUGCAAUGACCGUCAUGCAAAGGAACAAGUAAAUUCGCUCUGAUUAAUAGGAAAUUUUUCCUAAUCGACAGAAGUGGCACACUGAAGAUACUGAAGUUCGCGUAGAACCUGAAGGAUGACCAAAGUCAAAGCUAACUUUAGAUCAUAUACUGGUGCAAAGACGCCGGUUGGAGGAUGA
rnacentral:misc_RNA from 1 species